rnacentral:lncRNA from 1 species
AAAGUUAGGCUUAAAAAUUAAUGCUGGAUUAAGAGUUAUCAGAUAUUGGACCGGAGAAAAAAAGACAUCUGAUAUGAGUUAUAUGACAAUGUCACAAGGCUGAUGAUUUUUCUCAUUAAUCAGACUGUUAGGUAAAGAAGAAAAAUCUUAUAUGCCACGGGCUGUUCUAUACAUGACCAAAAUAUUUUUGCUGGGCUAGCUUUUCUUUUGGGAUCAAGUGUCCAAAAGAAUUUGACAUAAUAAACCGUCGUCAGUUUAAAGUAGUCAUGCAUAAUAUCUCUCUAAAUGAAAAUAAUGUAUAUUUAUAAUUUACGAAUCUAUUAUCAAACACAAUAUAUAAAAUGCAGAAUAUAAGCUAAGAGAAUCUAAAAUUAGAGACAUAUGUAGCCAUAAACUGGACAUGGAUAACAUAAUUUGUUCACUCCUCAACCUUCUCAACUUGAUUUAGUGGAACAUAUGUCACAACCCGCCAAGUUCCUUGGGCAUAAUCGAAGCAAGCAUUGCCCAAGGAUAACUUUCGGAGCACACUAGAGUGUUCUAGAACAUUGUGGGAAGCCUCGGAGGUGUCCGGAUACAUCGAGAAGUCUCUAGGAGACUAUGGAAUUCUCUAGAACCUUUGAGGAGGCUCAAGCAACUAGAGAUCCCUAGAACUCUCUAGAACACUCAAAGCCUUGUAUAGAUAUUUUAGGACUUCCCUAGAGACAUGUAGAAGUCUCUAGACUUUGUCUUUAUUUGUAAUGUCCUAGAUUACUCUAGAACUUUAGGUAAGGGCAAGGAUGCCUAUAAAUAGGUGGUGAAGGCUCUUAGCCAAACCAUCCUAGAAAUCCUAGAAAGCCUUGUAAAGAGUUCUCAAACUUAAUACAAAGUUUCUUUCUCCCACAUUGCCUAAGUGUUCCUUUCUAGCAUUCUUGCUCUCUUGUGUUGCUCUUGUUUCCGUUGCGUGAAGGCGAGGCUGACUUAGAGAGUUCGAGGAGUUGAACAACUCUAAGGCCGCACGGUUGGUAGAGAAGCGAAGUUCUCAUCCCGUGACAAGUGGUAUCAGAGCCUAGUUGCUCGCGUACAACACAAAGAGAAGGAAGAUGUCCGGAGAAGGAGUUUCGGUGGAGCAAGCUGUUGUUGGCGCCAAGAGGAGCCACAAGGAAGUACAUGCUGCCUUUGAUGCACGGCUCGGAAAGGUGGAAUCGGCCGUGGUCGAGUUUGACACUCGACUUGACGAUGACGUUGUGACAAAGGGGGAUCUCGCAGCCAUGGUGGAAGAGUUGCGAGAGCAAAUGCACGGCGCUCUCAACAUUAUGGCAGAUAGGAUCCGAGGGGAGGUCCGAGACAAGCUUGAUCAAAUGUCCGCUGAGCUCACAGCCCUCCGAGAGGAAGUGAAGGAGGUCAAGGGAGAUUGGGUGCUAUGCAAAGAGGCUGCACUUAACAAGUCGCAAGGGCCAAAGGAGACGAAGGCAUUGGACUCUUUCAAACCCAAAUCUUUUAGUGGGAAGAGGGAAGCUAAAGAGCUUGACACCUUUCUAUGGAACAUGGGAAGGUACUUCAAGUAUCUAAAGCUUGAGGAUGACGAGUCCAAAAUUUCAACGACUACCAUGUUUCUAGCCGACAAUGCCCUUAUGUGGUGGCGUCGAAGGAGUAUGGAAAUCGAGCAAGGUACGUUCUCUCUCGAUACUUGGGAAGAAUUCAAGAACGACAUCAAGUUGCAUUUCUAUCCCCAAAAUGCUCAAUAUGAAGCCAAGGAGAAGCUUAGGUGGCUAAAGCAAACGGGUAGCGUCAAGGAUUAUGUCAACACCUUUGUUAACUUGCUAUUCGAAGUGCCCAACAUGACGGAGGAGGACAAGCUCAUUUACUUCAUGAGUGGAUUACAAAGUUGGGCAAAGCUUGAGUUGCAAAGAAGACAAGUGCAAACCUUGUGUUGCAAAGAAGACAAGUGCAAACCUUGUCACAAGCCAUUGCCGCUGCCGAGUCCCUUAUUGAGUUCAAAGCUAGCCACCAAGGCGACACUAAGUUCAAGGGGAAGAAGGUUAGCUAUGAGAAGAGUGGGGGAGACGUGCCAAAGCCGAAGGAGAAGCCCGAGUCAAGCUACAAGCCGAAGGUGAAGAGGUUCGAGAAGCACGACAAGUCCGCAAACAAGACUUGGGAAAUGAAGUGCUACUUAUGCGACGGCCCUCAUAUGAUGCGCGAUUGCCCUCAAAAGAAGGCACUCAAAGCCAUGACCUUGCAAGAGCAUAGGAUCGAGGAAGAGGAGGAGGAUGCAGCAAGGAUGGGAUGCAUCCGGUUACUCAAUGCCUUGAAGGCUAGCGUCCCUCAACCAAGGCGACAAGCGGAAGGUGGAUCGCUUUACAUCGAUGUCAAGACAAAAGACACGAUGAUUCGUGCCUUGGUGGAUUGCGGAGCAACUCAUAACUUCAUGACGUCGGAAGAAGCAAGGAAGCUUGGCCUCCGAGUCACGAAGGAAUCGGGCAGUGUGAAGACGGUGAAUACACCUGCCACGCCCAUUGUUGGAGUAGCACGCGAUGUGGAGGUUCACAUCGGCGCUUGGAAAGGGAAAGUCGAUUUCACCGUGGUCAAGAUGGAUGACUAUGGCAUGGUAAUCGGCCUUGAAUUCAUGGACAAGGUACGAGCAUUUCCCGUUCCAUUCUAUAACAUCUUUUGCAUUGUUACGGAUGGAGAAUUGCCUUGCGUGGUGCCCGUGGCAAGGCAAGCAAGGGAGAAGACAAAGGCUCUAUCGGCCAUGCAACUCGCCAAAGCUUGGAAGAAGGGCGAGCCGACAUUCCUAGCAACCCUCAAGAUGGAUGAGGAGGUUGGAGGAAAUUCGGAACCAUUGCCAAAAGCAAUAGAGGCAAUCCUUGAGGAGUUUGGAGAUGUAAUGCCCAAGGAGUUGCCGAAGAAGUUGCCACCAAGGAGGGAGGUGGAUCAUGCCAUCGAGUUGGAACCCGGAGCAAAGCCACCAUCAAGGUCUCCCUAUAGAAUGGCGCCACCCGAGCUAGAGGAGCUCCGGAAGCAACUUAAGGAGUUGCUUGAUGCCGGCUACAUUCAACCGUCCAAGAGCCCAUACGGUGCCCCCGUCUUGUUCCAAAGGAAGAAGGAAGGCUCAUUAAGGAUAUGCAUCGACUACCGGGCGCUUAACAAGAUCACCAUCAAGAACAAGUAUCCCAUCCCUUUGAUUGCCGACCUAUUUGAUCAAUUGGGAGGAGCAAGAUAUUUCACCAAGCUAGAUCUUCGCUCGGGAUACUAUCAAGUAAGAAUUGCACCCGGAGAUGAACCGAAGACCGCAUGUGUAACAAGAUACGGAUCGUUCGAGUUCUUAGUCAUGCCAUUUGGUCUCACCAAUGCCCCGGCAACUUUUUGCACCUUGAUGAACAAGGUAUUCCAUCCUUACCUUGAUAAGUUCGUGGUAGUUUAUAUCGAUGACAUUGUGGUCUAUAGCAAAACCUUGGAGGAGCAUGUCGAGCACCUUCGCAUAGUGUUCCAAACCCUUAGGGAGAACGAACUCUAUGUGAAGAGGGGAGAAAUGUUCCUUUGCCAAGGAGGAAGUGGACUUCCUAGGCCACAAGAUCAAGGAUGGAAAGCUCUUGAUGGAGGAAAGCAAGGUGAAGGCCAUCCAAGAUUGGGAGCCGCCAACCAAGGUACCCGCACUUCGAUCUUUCCUUGGCUUGGUUAAUUAUUACCGAAUGUUCAUCAAGGGAUACUCCGCCAUUGCGGCACCCUUAACGGACCUUUUGAAGAAAAACAAGACAUGGGAAUGGACGGAUCGAUGCCAACAAGCCUUUGAAGACUUGAAGAAGGCUUUGAUGGAGGAACCCGUGCUAAGGCUGCCGGACCUUAGCAAGCCAUUUGAGGUACACACCGAUGCGUCGGACUUUGCCAUUGGUGGUGUACUUAUGCAAGAGGGACAUCCAAUAGCAUUUGAAAGCCGCAAGCUCAAUGACACCGAGAGGCGAUACUCGACGCAUGAGAAGGAGAUGACUGCCGUAGUUCAUUGCUUGCGCACUUGGAGGCACUACUUGCUUGGUUCCCAUUUCAUAGUCCGAACCGACAAUGUCGCCACAAGCUACUUCCAAACGCAGCAAAAGCUUACCCCGAAGCAAGCAAGAUGGCAAGAGUUCCUUGCCGAGUUCGACUACAAGUUGGAAUACAAGCAAGGCAAAGAGAACGUGGUAGCGGAUGCCCUAAGCCGGAAAGCCGAGCUAGCACCCGUGGUGCUUACACCUCAAAGCAAUCUCAUGGGAAGAAUCAAGGAGGGACUAUCCCAUGACUCUCAAGCCAAGAACUUGGUGGAGCUUGUCAAGAGUGGAACGACAAGGCGAUUUUGGCUCGAGGACAAGUUGCUUUACACAACGGGGAAGCGGCUCUAUGUUCCGAAAUGGGACAACUUGAGGAGGGAGGUGCUGAAGGAAGGCCACGACUCAAAGUGGGCGGGACACCCCGGCACUCAUCGCACUUUGGCAUUGCUUAGCGACACCUACUAUUGGCCACAUAUGCGAGACGAUGUGGACGCAUACGUGAAGACUUGCCUUGUGUGCCAACAAGACAAGGUGGAGCAAAAGCAUCCGGGAGGGUUGUUGGAACCCCUCCCCAUUCCAUCAAGACCGUGGGAGAGUUUAAGUAUGGACUUCAUCACCAAUCUACCCAAGUCCGAUGGUUGUGGAUCCAUCUUCGUUGUGGUAGAUCGAUUCACUAAGUAUGCCACCUUCAUCCCGGCACCCGUGGAGUGUACCACCGAGGUAGCGGCAUGCUUAUUCCUCAAGCAUGUGGUGAAGUAUUGGGGAGUUCCAAGGAGCAUAGUUAGCGAUCGAGAUGCUCGAUUCACCGGAAGGUUUUGGAGGGAACUCUUCAAGUUACUUGGGGCAAAGUUAAACUUCUCCACGGCCUUUCAUCCGCAAACCGAUGGGCAAACGGAGCGCGUGAAUGCCUUGUUGGAGCUAUACUUAAGGCAUUACGUGAGUGCCAACCAAAAGGAUUGGGCUAAGUUGCUUGAUGUUGCCCAAUUCUCUUAUAACUUGCAGCGGUCCGAGUCGACGGGAGCAAGUCCGUUUGAGCUAGCAACCGGACAACAACCCUUGACUCCAAGCACGUUGGUGACCGGCUACACGGGAAGUAGCCCCGCUGCAUAUAAAACAGCCAAGGAGUGGCAGCAAGCCAAUGAGCUCGCUCGUUCUCAACUAGAGAAGGCUUCAAAGAAGAUGAAGAAGUAUGCGGACCGGCAAAGGCGACACUUGGAGUUCCAAACCGGCGACUUAGUGUUCGUGAAGGUUAUUCCAACACAACACAAGGCGAACAAGGGACUUCACAAGAGUUUGCUACGGAAGUAUGAAGGUCCCUUUUCCAAUCCUUAAGAAGGUAGGCAAAGCGGCAUAUCUAGUGGAACUACCUUCUAACACCAAGCUUCAUCCGGUGUUCCAUGUGAGUCACUUGAAGCCUUAUCAUGAAGAUGCCGAAGCACCCGAACGAGGUAAGUCCCAUCGAGCUCCCGCUUAUAUGAUCACUUCAUUUGACAAAGAAGUAGAUAGCAUUGAGGCCAAGCGCGAGGUGCGGAAGAAGCGGAUACCAAGGUAUACCGAAUACUUUGUCAAAUGGAAGGGGCUGCCCGCGUCCGAGGCUAGUUGGGAGAAAGAGGAGUCCUUGUGGCAAUUCAAGGACAAGAUUGCCGAGUUCGAGCAAGAGGAGCUCGCAAGGGCGACGAGGACAUCGCCGACUUGAGUGGGGGAGAAUGUCACAACCCGCCAAGUUCCUUGGGCAUAAUCGAAGCAAGCAUUGCCCAAGGAUAACUUUCGGAGCACACUAGAGUGUUCUAGAACAUUGUGGGAAGCCUCGGAGGUGUCCGGAUACAUCGAGAAGUCUCUAGGAGACUAUGGAAUUCUCUAGAACCUUUGAGGAGGCUCAAGCAACUAGAGAUCCCUAGAACUCUCUAGAACACUCAAAGCCUUGUAUAUAUAUUUUAGGACUUCCCUAGAGACAUGUAGAAGUCUCUAGACUUUGUCUUUAUUUGUAAUGUCCUAGAUUACUCUAGAACUUUAGGUAAGGGCAAGGAUGCCUAUAAAUAGGUGGUGAAGGCUCUUAGCCAAACCAUCCUAGAAAUCCUAG